UACGUAGGGUGCGAGCGUUAAUCGGAAUUACUGGGCGUAAAGCGUGCGCAGGCGGUUUGUUAAGACAGAUGUGAAAUCCCCGGGCUUAACCUGGGAACUGCAUUUGUGACUGGCAAGCUAGAGUAUGGCAGAGGGGGGUAGAAUUCCACGGUGUAGCAGUGAAAUGCGUAGAGAUGUGGAGGAAUACCGAUGGCGAAGGCAGCCCCCUGGGCCAAUACUGACGCCUCAUGCACGAAAGCGUGGGGAGCAAACAGG
rnacentral:rRNA from 1 species